GGGGCCUCCGGGGGAGCGCACCUGGGCAGACCCCUUUGACUUAAGCCGAAGAAGUGGAGAUACCUGAGUGUUUGCAACAGGAGCGGAAACCAAGAAGCAUUGGACCAGGCAUGCGGGAGUGGAAUUGACAGUCAUUUCCUUGUGCUACACACCAGCUCCAUGUCAGCACUUAGCUCUAUUACUGGUGAUGACCAGGAAGAGACAUCAGUGAUUUAAAGAUUCGUGCAGUGCUUCCUUACUUACCUA